rnacentral:rRNA from 1 species
CCAAUAGCGUAUAUUAAAGUUGUUGCAGUUAAAAAGCUCGUAGUUGAAUUUCGGGAUCAGUACGCUGGUCGUGCCUUCGGUAUGCACUGGUGUCACUGGUUCCUCCCUUCUGAAGAACCGUUAUGCCAUUCAGUUGGUGUGGCGGGGAAUCAGGACUGUUACUUUGAAAAAAUUAGAGUGUUUAAAGCAGGCUCGCGCUUGAAUACAUUAGCAUGGAAUAAUGAAAUAGGACGUUUGAUCCUAUUUUGUUGGUUUCUAGGAUCGACGUAAUGAUUAAUAGGGAUAGUUGGGGGCAUUAGUAUUCAAUUGUCAGAGGUGAAAUUCUUGGAUUUAUUGAAGACUAACUACUGCGAAAGCAUUUGCCAAGGAUGUUUUCAUUAAUCAAGAACGAAAGUUAGGGGAUCGAAGACGAUCAGAUACCGUCGUAGUCUUAACCAUAAACUAUGCCGUCUAGGAAUCGGAUGAUGUUAAUUUUUUAAUGACUCAUUCGGCGCCUUACG